AUACGGAGGGUGCGAGCGUUAAUCGGAAUUACUGGGCGUAAAGCGUGCGUAGGCGGUUUGCUAAGUCAGAUGUGAAAGCCCCGGGCUUAACCUGGGAACUGCAUUUGAUACUGGCAGACUAGAGUAUGAUAGAGGGGGGUAGAAUUCCUGGUGUAGCGGUGAAAUGCGUAGAUAUCAGGAGGAAUACCAGUGGCGAAGGCGGCCCCCUGGAUCAAUUCUGACGCUGAGGUACGAAAGCGUGGGGAGCGAACAGGAUUAGAUACCCUAGUAGUCC
rnacentral:rRNA from 1 species